GGCAGCAGCUAAGAAUAUUCCACAAUGGGCGAAAGCCUGAUGGAGCCACGCCGCGUGGACGAUGAAGGCCGGAAGGUUGUAAAGUCCUUUAGCAAGUGAGGAAUAAGCGGGACAGGGAAUGGUCUCGUGGUGACUGUAGCUUGAGAAUAAGGGUCGGCUAAUUACGUGCCAGCAGCCGCGGUAACACGUAAGACCCUAGCGUUAUUCGGAAUUAUUGGGCGUAAAGGGCACGCAGGCGGUCUGGUAAGUUUGGAGUGAAAUUACGGAGCUUAACUCCGUAGCUGCUUUGGAUACUGCUGGACUUGAAUCAGUGAGGGGUGACCGGAAUACCUAGUGUAGGGGUGAAAUCUGUAGAUAUUAGGUAGAACACCGGUGGCGAAGGCAGGUCACCAGCACAUGAUUGACGCUCAGGUGCGAAGGUGCGGGGAUCAAACAGGAUUAGAUACCCUGGUAGUCCGCACAGUAAACGAUGCACACUUGGUGUUCGCUCUUAAGAGUGGGUGCCGUAGUUAACGCUUUAAGUGUGCCGCCUGGGAAGUAUGCCCG
rnacentral:rRNA from 1 species